UACGAAGGGGGCUAGCGUUGCUCGGAAUCACUGGGCGUAAAGCGCACGUAGGCGGCUUUUUAAGUCAGGGGUGAAAUCCUGGAGCUCAACUCCAGAACUGCCUUUGAUACUGAGAAGCUUGAGUCCGGGAGAGGUGAGUGGAACUGCGAGUGUAGAGGUGAAAUUCGUAGAUAUUCGCAAGAACACCAGUGGCGAAGGCGGCUCACUGGCCCGGUACUGACGGUGAGGUGCGAAAGCGUGGGGAGCGAACAGG
rnacentral:rRNA from 1 species